ACUGCCCAGCUGCUCGCCUGCUAGGCAAGCUGCGUAAACUCUGUGAGCCUCCAUUCCGGAAAGUGGAGCAAAUGCAGUACUGAUAAGACAGGGCUAUACUGGCUAUUUCAUGAAAGAGGGGACAGCAGGCCAAGUGUCAUCCUUGGCCCCAGAUGAAACACUCAGGGAAGAUGGACAGCCGCGCCGUGCUCAAAACCCAUGAUGCCCAGGGUUGCCUCAGCUAUUGAUCCAAACAGAUGGAGAAGAAUUAAUGGGAUUCUCCAAGCUGGGGUCACAACUAUAGGUGUCACCAGGAAAUUCUGUGCUGCUGCCUAAAGACAGGGACAAAGAUGAUAAAAUAGGAGGAGAUAAACAGUCAAUCCUCUAAGGUCGCCUCCAGGGACCAGAGAACCUAACAGGAAUGGACCCUGUAAAUUACAUCCCCUAGGUAGCACAGCUGAAUUGGGGGCUGGGUAACAGGGUGUUAAAAUGGAAGCCUUCCCCCAACCCAACUUAAGUUUGAUAACAAUAAAAAAUAGUGUCUGUGA